GACAGAGUGGGUUCCUUAAGUGAGGCCAGAAGGGUGGAGAUUUGGGAGAGUCAAGGAUUCUCAGGAGGGUAUGCUCUGCCUGGCAGGCUUGGGUAACUCCCAGGUAAGGUGAAACAGGGAAGGAUUUGGCCAGCUUUGCAACAGAGUGAAGAAGAAUGGAGAGAGAGGAACUGGAAUCAGGGAGAUGGGUGAGGAAGUUGUUGCAAGGUGGAAGAGUUGUCAAAAAGCUAAGGGUGUGGCACAAAAUAAAGAGACAUUGAGGGGGCACAACAGCAGAGACAUACAGCCACCAACUGGAGGUGGAGGAUGAGGAUGGCAAUAACAACAGCUCUCCAACACCCUCCAGCCCCCACAGUGUGGGAACGGUUCUCAGGGAUGCCCCACAGGCAGGUUCCAGCAGCGAGGUACAGCCCUUGACUUGGAUCCAGCCUGGAGGGUGAAACGUCCAUGGCACCCAGAACUCCACAGAGACACUCAAGAAUGGGGAUGACAAAGGGGUCGUCAUGUCCCCUCUGCAGCCAACUGAUGCCAUUUUCUGAGGGUUUCCUACCAGAGAAGGAAGCCUCAAGGUUUGUCUGCUUAAACACUGC
rnacentral:lncRNA from 1 species